UGCUGGCUUUAAGAUGCUGUUGUGAUCUAUUAUGCCAUUUGUGCUGGUUGGAAUCAGUGGCAGAGGACGUUUUGUGUGUGAGGUGGAGGUUAAUCUGACUCCAGGCAGCCGGCACUGACAUAAAUCAAGUGUCUGCACUGACAGACUGCCUGUGUGGGGCUCUGGGCCAGAGAGACGAGAUAGGAAGACAUGGAGGAUUUGAAGAGAAACCUGUUUCCGGCAACCUAACAACCUCUGCUCCUCCGUCAGAGAGCUGAACCAGACUUGACUUCACACCCAGAUGCAUGACUGAAAGUUUUAUGAUGACUAUGAAAAUCCAUUCUGCUGAGCCCGAACACCAAAGAUGAGAUGAGGAGAGAAAAGAGAGAGUGAAACAGAAGGGUGGAGACGUGACGGAUGUGUUCGCAAUCAUGGUGUCCAAGGCAAAGACUCGAACAUUGUGGUCAACUCCUCUCUGCUUCUCAAGUCCGCCAAUGUACAUUGAGCUACUGAACUGGUAACAGCAAG